rnacentral:rRNA from 1 species
AUUCCAGCUCCAAUAGCGUAUAUUAAUGUUGUUGCAGUUAAAAAGCUCGUAGUUGGAUUUCUGGUCGGAUCGCCUGGCCGGCUCCGCAAGGGGUCGUGCAUGGGUGCCUUCGUCCAUCCUCAGGGGGCCAGGCGCUGGUAUUCAUUUAUCGGUGUUUGAACGCCUGUCGUUUACUGUGAACAAAUUAGAGUGUUCAAAGCAAGGUGUACUUGAAUACAUUAGCAUGGAAUAAUAAGAUAGGACUUUGGUGGCUCUUUUUGAUAUUUUGUUGGUUUGCACGCCAAAGUAAUGAUUAAUAGGGAUAGUUGGGGGUGCUAGUAUUGGGCGGCCAGAGGUGAAAUUCUUGGAUUCGCUCAAGACUAACUUAUGCGAAAGCAUUCACCAAGGAUGUCUUCAUUA